AAAUUGAAGAGUUCCGAUCAUGGCUCCGAUUGAACGCUGGCGGCAGGCUAACAUGCAAGAAUCCGAACGGUAACAGGAAGCAGCUUGCUGCUUCGCUGACAGUGGCGGACGGGUGGUAAUGUCUGGAAACUGCCUGAUGGAGAGGGGAUAACUACUGGAAACGGUGGCUAAUACCGCAUAACGUCGCAAGACCAAAGAGGGACCUUCGGGCCUCUUGCCAUCGGAGAAAUAUUGCCCAGAUGGGAUUAGCUUGUUGGUGAGGUAACGGCUCACCAAGGCGACGCGUCCCCUAGCUGGUCUGAGGAUGACCAGCCACACUGGAACUGAGACACGGUCCAGACUCCUACGGGGAGGCAACGGUGAGAAUAUUGCACAAUGGGCGCAAGCCUGAUGCAUAUGCCGCGUGUAUGAAGAAGGCCUUCGGGUUGUAAAAGUACUUUCAGCGGGGAGGAAGGUGUUGUGGUUAAUAACCACAGCAGUGACGUUACCCGCAGAAAAGCACAAAACUGCUCCGUGCCAGCAGCCGCGGUAAUACGGAGGUGCAAGCGUUAAUCAGGUGCACAGAAUAAAAGCGCACGCAGGCGGUCUGUCAAGUCGGAUGUGAAAUCCCCGGGCUCAGCACGGAACUGCAUUCCGAAACUGGCGGAAGCGAAGGAGUCUUAAUAGAGGGGGUAGAAUUCGAGGUGUAGCGGUGAAAUGCGUGAAGAUCUGGAGGAAUACCGGUGGCGAAGGCAUUUACUGGACAAAGACUGACGCUCAGGUGCAGCGUGGGGAGCAAACAGGAUUAGAUACCUGGUAGUCCACGCCGUAAACGAUGUCUACUUGGGUUGUGCCCGCUUGAGGCGUGGCUUCGGAGCUAACGCGUUAAGUAGCAGACCGCACGGGGAGUACGGCCGCAAGGUUAAAACUCCAAUGUGACGGGGCCCGCGGCGGUGAGAAUGUGGUUUAAUUCGAUGCAACGCGAGAAGAACCUUACUGAUGUGACAUCACAGAACUUUCCGGAAUGGACUGGUGCCUUCGGGAACUGUGGACAGGUGCUGCAUGGCUGUCGUCAGCUCGUGUUGUGAAAUGUUGAGUUAGAAGUCCCGCAACGAGCGCAACCCUUAUCCUUUGUUGCCAGCGGUCCGGCCGGGAACUCAAGGAGACUGCCAGUGAUAAACUGGAGGAAGGUGGGGAUGACGUCAAGUCAUCAUGACGAGGGCUACGUGCUACAAUGGCGCGCAUACAAGAGAAGCGACCUCGCGAGCAAAAGCGGACCUCAUAAGAAGUGCGUCGUAGUCCGGAUUGGGUCACACAACUCACGACUCCAUGUCGGAAUCAUGAAGCCAAUCGUGGAUCAGAAUGCCACGGUGAAUACGUUCCAGACGCCCAGCACACACCGCCCGUCACACCAUGGGAGUAGGUUGCAAAAGAAGUAAGGUAGCAACAGCUUCGGGAGGGCGCUUACCACUUUGUGAUUCACUUGACUGGGGUGAAGUCGUAACAAAAGGUAACCGUAGGGAACCUGCGGUUGGAUCACCUCCUUA
rnacentral:rRNA from 1 species